GAUGAACGCUGGCGGCGUGCCUAAUACAUGCAAGUCGAGCGAACAGACGAGGAGCUUGCUCCUCUGACGUUAGCGGCGGACGGGUGAGUAACACGUGGAUAACCUACCUAUAAGACUGGGAUAACCUCGGGAAACCGGAGCUAAUACCGGAUAAUAUAUUGAACCGCAUGGUUCAAUAGUGAAAUACGGUUUUGCUGUCACUUAUAGAUGGAUCCGCGCCGCAUUAGCUAGUUGGUAAGGUAACGGCUUACCAAGGCUACGAUGCGUAGCCGACCUGAGAGGGUGAUCGGCGACACUGGAACUGAGACACGGUCCAGACUCCUACGGGAGGCAGCAGUAGGGAAUCUUCGGCAAUGGGCGAAAGCCUGACGGAGCAACGCCGCGUGAGUGAUGAAGGUCUUCGGAUCGUAAAACUCUGUUAUUAGGGAAGAACAAAUUUGUAAGUAACUAUGCACGUCUUGACGGUACCUGAUCAGAAAGCCACGGCUAACUACGUG
rnacentral:rRNA from 1 species